rnacentral:rRNA from 1 species
AGUGAACGCUGGCGGUAGGCCUAACACAUGCAAGUCGAACGGCAGCACAGUAAGAGCUUGCUCUUACGGGUGGCGAGUGGCGGACGGGUGAGGAAUACAUCGGAAUCUACUUUUUCGUGGGGGAUAACGUAGGGAAACUUACGCUAAUACCGCAUACGACCUACGGGUGAAAGCAGGGGAUCUUCGGACCUUGCGCGAUUGAAUGAGCCGAUGUCGGAUUAGCUAGUUGGCGGGGUAAAGGCCCACCAAGGCGACGAUCCGUAGCUGGUCUGAGAGGAUGAUCAGCCACACUGGAACUGAGACACGGUCCAGACUCCUACGGGAGGCAGCAGUGGGGAAUAUUGGACAAUGGGCGCAAGCCUGAUCCAGCCAUACCGCGUGGGGGAAGAAGGCCUUCGGGUUGUAAAGCCCUUUUGUUGGGAAAGAAAAGCAGCAGGUUAAUACCCCGCUGUGCUGACGGUACCCAAAGAAUAAGCACCGGCUAACUUCGUG